CGCUGAGCCAACCGAGUGUUUAACCUGCUGCGGCGUCUUCUCCAUUCAGAGUGCCGGGAAGCCAGCCGACAGCUGUGGACAGUGCUUCCUACUGGGCCUACGUGGCUGCCGUCGUGACUCAAUAAAUAGAGGAACUGGCCAGGUGUUUCUAUUUGGAACCAAUCGAUGGCGAGCUUGAACCUACAACUACGGCUACUGUGUCCACCUAAGAAGCAGAAAACUACUGGUCUGGUAGGAAGGCUGCCACACAGCCUGUCCCCCACACACUCCAUGAACUCUGGUGCAUCAUCCCACUCACUCUUUCUCCUAGCUAUAACCCUUGAACAUUCUAUACAACCUCUCGACAAACCCUCAUGGAUCGUUGCAUCAGUUCUGGGACUGUAUAUUUUCUGUUGUGUGACACACAAGUUUUGUUGUUCAAUUCCAAUUUAACCAAAACAUUUGGAAGUGCACUUAUCAACCGAUCUCUUACUGCACCUGUAAAUAUUUUGGGGUUUUCUAUUUUUUCCCCUUUAUUUCUGUUGUAACUAUUUAGUUCUACACUCUUUACAAUACAUGGUAUCUGCACCAAACUUAA